CAAGUCGAGCGAAUGGAUUAAGAGCUUGCUCUUAUGAAGUUAGCGGCGGACGGGUGAGUAACACGUGGGUAACCUGCCCAUAAGACUGGGAUAACUCCGGGAAACCGGGGCUAAUACCGGAUAACAUUUUGAACCGCAUGGUUCGAAAUUGAAAGGCGGCUUCGGCUGUCACUUAUGGAUGGACCCGCGUCGCAUUAGCUAGUUGGUGAGGUAACGGCUCACCAAGGCAACGAUGCGUAGCCGACCUGAGAGGGUGAUCGGCCACACUGGGACUGAGACACGGCCCAGACUCCUACGGGAGGCAGCAGUAGGGAAUCUUCCGCAAUGGACGAAAGUCUGACGGAGCAACGCCGCGUGAGUGAUGAAGGCUUUCGGGUCGUAAAACUCUGUUGUUAGGGAAGAACAAGUGCUAGUUGAAUAAGCUGGCACCUUGACGGUACCUAACCAGAAAGCCACGGCUAACUACGUGCCAGCCGC
rnacentral:rRNA from 1 species